rnacentral:rRNA from 1 species
UACAGAGGGGGCAAGCGUUGUUCGGAAUUACUGGGCGUAAAGGGCGCGUAGGCGGCCUGCUAAGUCAUACGUGAAAUCCCUCGGCUUAACCGGGGAACUGCGUCUGAUACUGGAUGGCUUGAAUCCGGGAGAGGGAUGCGGAAUUCCAGGUGUAGCGGUGAAAUGCGUAGAUAUCUGGAGGAACACCGGUGGCGAAGGCGGCAUCCUGGACCGGCAUUGACGCUGAGGAGCGAAAGCCAGGGGAGCAAACGGG